rnacentral:tRNA from 3 species
AGGGGUAUAGCCAAGCGGUAAGGCAUCAGACUUUGACUCUGACAUCUCGUAGGUUCAAAUCCUGCUACCCCUGCCA